rnacentral:snoRNA from 1 species
ACCUUCCAAAUUCCUUGCCCUUCGGAUCUAAACACGGGUCUGAGUGGUUAUAAACGCAGGAAAAGUAAAACUGAAACGGACUUAAAUUCUUUGUGACACAUGAGCUAGUUUCAAACUAAA